UGGAGAGUUGGAGAACGACGACAUCAUAGCUGAUUUCUCUCGUGUCGUCAUCCGUUUCGAAGGUGCGGAAGAGGAGAAGAAAGAAGAACCCGAGAGCGAAUUUGCCUUCCUCUUCAGCCCACCUCGCCGCCUUGAAGGCUCCGCCGACGCCGGUGAAUCGGCUCCCGCCGGAGAUCUGUCGUCCAUCUUGUGAAGGGGGGUUGAGAAUUAGGGAUUUGGUGGAUUGGAGAGACUCUCAGCAAGAUUUGAAAGAGAGCAGCUCCAAUGGAGUUAACUGUCGGAUACUCUCAACUGUUUUGUCUCUCCUUUUUUAAAAGUUUUUCAUAUUAAUACUAUUAUUAAUUAUAUUAAUCGAUGCAUUUCUUAAAUUUAAAUUACAAACAUAAUGAGCCUCGGUUUAAUUAAUUUUUAUUUUUUUAUCAAAUUAAUUUGAAGGCUCAGCCGACGCCGGUGAAUCGGCUCCCGCCGGAGAUCUGUCGUCCAUCUUGUGAAGGGGGGUGGAGAAUUAGGGAUUUGGUGGAUUGGAGAGACUCUCAGCAAGAUUUGAAGGAGAGCAGCUCCAAUGGAGUUUACUGUCAGAUACUGUCAACUGUUUUGUCUCUCCUUUUUCUUA
rnacentral:lncRNA from 1 species